UACUGAGCACAUCGAUUAGGUUCAGCGACCACUUGUGGAAGUACGAAAGCGGAAGAUUAAAAGGGAAACUGGUGUGAAUCCAGUACUGUUCCCGCAACUGUAAACAAAUGGUGAUGCACCAGCCGUAUAAACGGCCACCCGUCAAGAGCCACUGGGAAACCGGGAAGGCGAGGGGUGUUUGAAGUCAGGAGACCUGCCUUAUCUCUAUAAAGUGA
rnacentral:ncRNA from 2 species